AGAGUUUGAUCCUGGCUCAGGACGAACGCUGGCGGCGUGCCUAAUACAUGCAAGUAGAACGCUGAAGAGAGGAGCUUGCUCUUCUUGGAUGAGUUGCGAACGGGUGAGUAACGCGUAGGUAACCUGCCUUGUAGCGGGGGAUAACUAUUGGAAACGAUAGCUAAUACCGCAUAACAAUAGGUGACACAUGUCAUUUAUUUGAAAGGGGCAAUUGCUCCACUACAAGAUGGACCUGCGUUGUAUUAGCUAGUAGGUGAGGUAACGGCUCACCUAGGCGACGAUACAUAGCCGACCUGAGAGGGUGAUCGGCCACACUGGGACUGAGACACGGCCCAGACUCCUACGGGAGGCAGCAGUAGGGAAUCUUCGGCAAUGGGGGCAACCCUGACCGAGCAACGCCGCGUGAGUGAAGAAGGUUUUCGGAUCGUAAAGCUCUGUUGUAAGUCAAGAACGAGUGUGAGAGUGGAAAGUUCACACUGUGACGGUAGCUUACCAGAAAGGGACGGCUAACUACGUGCCAGCAGCCGCGGUAAUACGUAGGUCCCGAGCGUUGUCCGGAUUUAUUGGGCGUAAAGCGAGCGCAGGCGGUUUGAUAAGUCUGAAGUUAAAGGCUGUGGCUCAACCAUAGUUCGCUUUGGAAACUGUCAAACUUGAGUGCAGAAGGGGAGAGUGGAAUUCCAUGUGUAGCGGUGAAAUGCGUAGAUAUAUGGAGGAACACCGGUGGCGAAAGCGGCUCUCUGGUCUGUAACUGACGCUGAGGCUCGAAAGCGUGGGGAGCGAACAGGAUUAGAUACCCUGGUAGUCCACGCCGUAAACGAUGAGUGCUAGGUGUUGGAUCCUUUCCGGGAUUCAGUGCCGCAGCUAACGCAUUAAGCACUCCGCCUGGGGAGUACGACCGCAAGGUUGAAACUCAAAGGAAUUGACGGGGGCCCGCACAAGCGGUGGAGCAUGUGGUUUAAUUCGAAGCAACGCGAAGAACCUUACCAGGUCUUGACAUCCCGAUGCUAUUUCUAGAGAUAGAAAGUUACUUCGGUACAUCGGUGACAGGUGGUGCAUGGUUGUCGUCAGCUCGU
rnacentral:rRNA from 1 species